UUAUUACAUCCAAGUCAUUAAUAGUUCUGUAUAGUUAUAUCACAUCACCUCUUGAUCUUCUAAUUUUUAACGUGGAGAGAAAGGUUUACCAGUGAGUUUUUACAUAACAAAUCUUUUAAACUAUAAACACGAGUUGCUCUAUGUUGGAGUUUUUCAAUCAUAUUAACAUGUUUUCGUUUAUGCAAACUCCUUAAUGGGGUUCAAUAUUCAAGGUGAGGUCUAAAUAAUGAUGUACUAAUAAUGUUAUAUUUCUUUUAUCUAAUAAUUUCAAUAAGUGUUUGAUUUGCCAUAAUGUCAAAUUUCCAAAGUAAUUUUUUCUCCAUAAUUUCAUUUUUAAAACGCUUUCAUGAAAAGUUAUAAAGAAUUGUCAAUAAUGAUGCUAUUAACCUGAUUUUUGUUUUAGAAUACAGAAUGUUUUUUUAUAUAUUUUCUUUUAGUAUGUAUGCUCCAAACUUUUUGGAUCUGCGAUAAUGAAACUCCAUUCCCUAGUUAAAACGGAUGCAAGCACUAAAGAAGACAAAAACGUUACAAAUUGAAGCAGAAACUUUUCAACGAAUCAUGUUGACGAUUAGAUAUGAAUUGCAGAAAAGCACCAUUGUUGAAUGAUUAUGAAUGAAAACUUUGUAUUAUAAUUGCGUAAAUAUAUUUUAAAAUUUAA